AAAAAGAUUCUAGGGCUUCGGGUCUUAUUUCGGCUGUGCGCUCAGGCUGCACGCCGAUAACCUCUCACACCUGUGCACCUUUUCGGUUGCGGUUUCGGCCGCUUCCGCUUUUACAUGCAACCACGAAAAGUCUAGAAUGUGAAGAAAACUAUAAAGUAACAACUUUCAACAACGGAUCUCUUGGCUCUCGCAUCGAUGAAGAACGCAGCGAAAUGCGAUAAGUAAUGUGAAUUGCAGAAUUCAGUGAAUCAUCGAAUCUUUGAACGCACCUUGCGCUCCUUGGUAUUCCAUGGAGCAUGCCUGUUUGAGUGUCACGUAAACCCUCACCCCUGCGAUGUAACAGUCGCCUGCGGUGGACUUGGACCGUGCCGGUAAUCGGCUCGUCUUGAAAUGCAUUAGCUGGCGCUUUUAGAGUGCUGGGCGAACGGUGUGAUAAUUAUCUGCGCCGACUGCCCUGGGCCUCUUCAGCGGCGCUGCUUACAGCCGUCCCUUGUGGACAACUAUUUUAAAGCUUUGGCCUCAAAUCAGGUAGGACUACCCGCUGAACUUAAGCAUAUCAAUAAGUGGGAGGAAAACA
rnacentral:rRNA from 1 species